rnacentral:tRNA from 2 species
GGAGAGGUGGCUGAGCGGCUGAAAGCAGCGUCCUGCUAAGACGUUGAGCUCGUAAGGGCUCCGUGAGUUCGAAUCUCACCCUCUCCGCCU